AGAUCCCAAGAGGGGGCUGGGCAUCGAAUCUGGGGGUAAAGACGCUCCAAGCCUUUAAGGAAUCUAGUCACCACAGGGUGAGAGAACACAGAGUG